rfam:Picea glauca, whole genome shotgun sequence.
GGGAUUACGGUGGAUACCUAGGCACCCAAAGACGAGGAAGGGCGUGGUAAGCGACGAAAUGAUUCGGGGAGUUGAAAAUGAGCAUAGAUCUAGAGAUUCCCAAAUAGGUUAACCUUUUUAACUGCUUCUUAAUCCAUGGGCAGGAAAGAGACAACUUGGUGAACUGAAACAUCUUAGUAGCCAUAGGAAUAGAAAUCAAAAGUGAAUCCCAUAGUAGCGACGAGCGAAAUGGGAGCAUCCUAAACUGUGAAAACGGGGUUGUGGGAGAGCACAAUAUAAGCUUUGUGCUACUAGGUGAAGCGAUUGAGUCCUGCACCCUAGAUGGUGAGAGUCCAGUAGCCAAAAUCAGCAUUGGGUUAUACUCUAACUCGAGUAGCAUGGGGCACAUGGAAUCCCAUGUGAAUUAGCAAGGACCACAUUGCAAGGCUAAAUACUCCUAGGUGAUCGAUAGCAAAGUAGUAACAUGAGGGAAAGGUGAAAAGAACCCCCACUGGGGAGUGAAAUAGAACAUGAAACUGUAAGCUCCCAAGUAGUGGGAGGAAAAUGAUAUCUCUGACCACGUGCCUAUUGAAGAAUGAGAUGGUGACUUAUAGGCAGCGGCUUGGUUAAGGGAACCCACCGGAGCUGUAGCGAGAGAGAGUCUUCGUGGGGCAAUUGUCACUUCUUAUGGACCCGAACCUGGGUGAUCUAUCCAUGACCAGGAUGAAUAUUGGGUGAAACUAAGUGGAGGUUCGAACCGACUGAUGUUGAAAAAUCAGUGGAUGAGUCAUGGUUAGGGGUGAAAUGUGACUCGAACCCAGAGCUAGAUGGUUCUCCUCGAAAUGUGUUGGGGCACAACAAUUGACUGGACCAUCUAGGGGUAAAGAACUGUUUCGGUAUGGGCCGCGAGAGCAGUACCAAAUCGAGGCAAACUCUGAAUACUAGAUUUCCCCAAUAAAAUGGGUAAACUCCAGCCAGUGAGACGAUGGGGGAUAAGCUUCAUCGUUGAGAGGGAAACAUCCCAGAUCAUCAGCUAAUGCCCCUAAAUGACCGCUUAGUGAUGAAGGAAGUAUGAGUGCAAAGACAGCCGGGAAGUUUGCCUAGAAGCAGCUAACCUUGAAAGAGUGUGUAAUAUCUCACUGAUCGAGUUCUCUUGCACCGAAGAUGAACGGGACUAAGCAAUCUACUGAAGCUGUGGGAUGUAAAAAUACAUCGGUAGGGGAUCAUUCUACCUCAGAGGGAAGUAUCGACGUGAGAAGGUGAUGACAAAGCAUAAGCGAUAAUGUCGUCUUGAAUAACGCAAACAUUGGUGAGAAUCCAAUGCCCCAAAAACCUAAGGGUUCCUCCACAAGGUUUUUCCACAGAGGGUGAGUCAAGGCCUAAGAUCAGGUCGAAAGGCAUAGUUGAUGGAAAACAGGUUAAUAUUCCUGUACUACCCCUUGUUGGUCCUGAGGGACGGAGGAGGCUAGGUUAGCCGAAAGAUGGUUAUCGGUUCAAGGACGCAAUGUGACCCUCUAUACAUUGAUUCAAAGGUAAAAGAAGAAUCAAAUAUAGGUGUGUACAAGGUGAGGUUGGGGGUGUAUAUUCCUCAUCAUCUACUCUAGCACACAAAAAUCCAAUAUGGCUUAUCCAAACAUUAUAGGAUGCACAAAAUCAUGUAGGAGCACCCAUAUCAUCAAUGAGGGUGAGUAUA